rnacentral:rRNA from 1 species
GACCUCAAAUCAGGUAGGACUACCCGCUGAACUUAAGCAUAUCAAUAACCGGAGGAAAAGAAACUAACAAGGAUUCCCCUAGUAACUGCGAGUGAAGCGGGAAAAGCUCAAAUUUGAAAUCUGGCGGUUUUUUGAC